GGCCGGUUGGCUCAGUUGGUUAGAGCGCAGUGCUCGUAACACCCAGGUCGUAGGUUCAAUUCCCACAUAGGCCA